rnacentral:rRNA from 1 species
UAGGGAAUAUUAGUAAUGGGCGAAAGCCUGAACUAGCAACGCCGCGUGUGCGAAGAAGGCCUUCGGGUUGUAAAGCACUUUUUGAGAGGAUGAGGAAGGACGGUACUCUCAGAAUAAGUCUCGGCUAACUACGUGCCAGCAGCCGCGGUAACACGUAGAAGGCGAACGUUAUCCGGAUUUACUGGGCGUAAAGCGCGCGUAGGUGGUUUGGUAAGUAGGGCGUGAAAGCUCCUGGCUCAACUGGGAGAGGCCGUUCUAAACUGCCGAACUAGAGGAUGGUAGAGGGAGGUGGAAUUCCGGGUGUAGCGGUGGAAUGCGCAGAUAUCCGGAGGAACACCAGUGGCGAAAGCGGCCUCCUGGACCAUUCCUGACACCCAGACGCGAAAGCUAGGGUAGCAAACGG